UACGUAGGUGACAAGCGUUGUCCGGAUUUACUGGGCGUAAAGAGCGCGCAGGCGGUCGAUCAAGUCGAGUGUGAAAGCCCCCGGCUCAACUGGGGAGGGUCAUUCGAUACUGAUCGACUCGAAGGCAGGAGAGGGUAGUGGAAUUCCCGGUGUAGUGGUGAAAUGCGUAGAUAUCGGGAGGAACACCAGUGGCGAAGGCGGCAUCCUGGACCGGUAUUGACGCUGAGGCGCGAAAGCUAGGGGAGCAAACGGG
rnacentral:rRNA from 1 species